UCUGGAGCCCAGAGUAGGACUUGGGUCAUCCCUAUUCAAUGGCUACAGCUACCAGGUUCCCUUCAAAGCCCUUGGGAUUUGAACUUUUCAGUGCAGCAUCUUUGCAGGGAUGUCACUACAGUGCCCUUCAUGACCUGCUUCAGAAGCCCUUUGUAGGAGAUGGGAAUCCAAGCAUGAGGAAAGGACUACUUUUCCCUAAAUAUCUGCACAGGCUCUAAUUGCUGGUGCUCCUGAUUUUAACGGAGAACUCCAGGCAUUACACCAACACAGAUACAAUAAAGUGUAACUCAUUAGGUAGAAAAGAUAAAGUGGCACUUAAGAGAGCCACUGACAGAUGACAGUGUGGAUCAGAAGCCAGGGGCAGAGGGAAGGUUGGGCGCUUGCCCCUUCUGCUGCAAAACCUCCUCCCGAUGCCUCGAGAAUAAAAGCCUCGUGGCAUAAUGG